rnacentral:rRNA from 1 species
UACGGGGGGGGCAAGCGUUGUUCGGAAUUACUGGGCGUAAAGGGCUCGUAGGUGGCCAACUAAGUCAGACGUGAAAUCCCUCGGCUUAACCGGGGAACUGCGUCUGAUACUGGAUGGCUUGAGGUUGGGAGAGGGAUGCGGAAUUCCAGGUGUAGCGGUGAAAUGCGUAGAUAUCUGGAGGAACACCGGUGGCGAAGGCGGCAUCCUGGACCAAUUCUGACGCUGAGGAGCGAAAACCAGGGGAGCAAACGGG